rnacentral:rRNA from 1 species
CUGUGAGGUUGAGCUAAUCCCUUAAAGCUGGUCUCAGUUCGGAUUGGGGUCUGCAACUCGACCCCAUGAAGUCGGAGUCGCUAGUAAUCGCAGAUCAGCAAUGCUGCGGUGAAUACGUUCCCGGGCCUUGUACACACCGCCCGUCGAGUCACGAAAGUUGGUAACACCCGAAGCCGGUGGCCUAACCGUUGUGGGGGGAGCCGUCGAAGGUGGGACUGGCGAUUGGGACUAAGUCGUAACAAGGUAGCCGUACCGGAAGGUGCGGCUGGAUCACCUCCUUUCUAAGGAG